rnacentral:rRNA from 1 species
GACGAACGCUGGCGGCGUGCUUAACACAUGCAAGUCGAACGGAGUGGCGAACGGGUGAGUAACACGUGGGUGACCUGCCCUGCACUUCGGGAUAAGCCUGGGAAACUGGGUCUAAUAACGGAUAGUGUGGGAUGGGCCCGCGGCCUAUCAGCUUGAUGGUGGGGUAAUGGCCUACCAAGGCGGGGACGGGUAGCCGGCCUGAGCGGGUGGACGGCCACAUUGGGCCUAGGGCACGGCCCAGACGCCUACUGGGGGCAGUAGUGGGGAGUAUUGCGCAAUGGUCGGAAGUCUGUUGCAGCGGCGUCGCGUGUGUGAUGACCGCUUUCGGGUUGUAAACUCCUUUCACCAUCGACGCGGUAGAUGGAGAAGAAGCACCGGCUAACUACGUGCCAGCAGCCGCGGUAAUAC